rnacentral:rRNA from 1 species
UCGGCCAUCCUACGGCGGAAACUCCUUAACUCGUUCCGAAUUAAGAAGAGAAGCGCCGUCAGGCCCCGCCAGUACUGCGAUCGGAGACGUCGUGGGAACACGGGGUGCCGAACUUU